rnacentral:rRNA from 1 species
CCUACGGGAGGCAGCAGUGGGGAAUCUUGCGCAAUGGGCGAAAGCCUGACGCAGCCAUGCCGCGUGAAUGAUGAAGGUCUUAGGAUUGUAAAAUUCUUUCACCGGGGACGAUAAUGACGGUACCCGGAGAAGAAGCCCCGGCUAACUUCGUGCCAGCAGCCGCGGUAAUACGAAGGGGGCUAGCGUUGCUCGGAAUUACUGGGCGUAAAGGGAGCGUAGGCGGAUAGUUUAGUCAGAGGUGAAAGCCCAGGGCUCAACCUUGGAAUUGCCCUUGAUACUGGCUAUCUUGAGUACGGAAGAGGUAUGUGGAACUCCGAGUGUAGAGGUGAAAUUCGUAGAUAUUCGGAAGAACACCAGUGGCGAAGGCGACAUACUGGUCCGUUACUGACGCUGAGGCUCGAAAGCGUGGGGAGCAAACAGGAUUAGAUACCCUGGUAGUCCACGCUGUAAACGAUGAGUGCUAGUUGUCGGCAUGCAUGCAUGUCGGUGACGCAGCUAACGCAUUAAGCNCNCCGCGNGGAGUACGGUCGCAGAAUUAAACGUAAGAAGUAGUAGACGNGAGAGACGCGACGACGACGACGAGGAGGAGG